rfam:Acetobacterium bakii strain DSM 8239 contig_10, whole genome shotgun sequence.
UUAGUAAAUCAGAUAGUCGCACCCGGGUUAUACCGGUUGAGGAAAGUCCGAGCUCCACAGAGCAUGGUGCCGGGUAACGCCCGGUGGAGGCAACUUUAAGGCAAGUGCAACAGAAAGUAUACCGCCAGCAAUGGUAAGGAUGAAAGGGUGAGGUAAGAGCUCACCAGUGGUGUGGUGACACAUCAGCUAUGUAAACCCCACCUGGAGCAAGACCAAGAACGGAUUUUAAAAGACGGCUGCUCGUCGUUAUCCUAAGGUAGGUCGCUAGAAUUUAUUGGUAACAAUAAAUCGAGAUAGAUGACUAUUUAAACAGAACUCGGCUUAUAGAUUUAGUAAACCA